CCAGACUCCUACGGGAGGCAGCAGUGGGGAAUAUUGGGCAAUGGGCGCAAGCCUGACCCAGCAACGCCGCGUGAAGGAAGAAGGCUUUCGGGUUGUAAACUUCUUUUCUCAGGGACGAAGCAAGUGACGGUACCUGAGGAAUAAGCCACGGCUAACUACGUGCCAGCAGCCGCGGUAAUACGUAGGUGGCAAGCGUUAUCCGGAUUUACUGGGUGUAAAGGGCGUGUAGGCGGGGACGCAAGUCAGAUGUGAAAACCACGGGCUCAACCUGUGGCCUGCAUUUGAAACUGUAGUUCUUGAGUGAUGGAGAGGCAGGCGGAAUUCCGUGUGUAGCGGUGAAAUGCGUAGAUAUACGGAGGAACACCAGUGGCGAAGGCGGCCUGCUGGACAUUAACUGACGCUGAGGCGCGAAAGCGUGGGGAGCAAGCAGGAUUAGAUACCCCCGUAUC
rnacentral:rRNA from 1 species